rnacentral:rRNA from 2 species
UAUAACUGGAGAGUUUGAUUCUGGCUCAGAAUGAACGCUGGCGGCGUGCUUAACACAUGCAAGUCGAACGAGAAAGUUCCUGCUUGCAGGAACGAGUAGAGUGGCGCACGGGUGAGUAACACGUGGAUAAUCUACCUUCAAAUCGGGAAUAACCAUUCGAAAGGAUGGCUAAUGCCGGAUAAAGUCAGAUAUUCUUUGGGAUUUUUGAUGAAAGGGAGCCUCUGAUAUAAGCUUUUGUUUGAAGAUGAGUCCGCGCACCAUUAGUUUGUUGGUGGGGUAACGGCCUACCAAGACUGUGAUGGUUAGCUGGUCUGAGAGGAUGAUCAGCCACACUGGAACUGACACACGGUCCAGACUCCUACGGGAGGCAGCAGUGAGGAAUUUUGCGCAAUGGGGGAAACCCUGACGCAGCAACGCCGCGUGAGUGAAGAAGGCCCUUGGGUCGUAAAGCUCUGUCAACAGGGAAGAAAUUAUUAUGCUUUAAUAGAGUGUAGUAUUGACGGUACCUGUGAAGGAAGCACCGGCUAACUCCGUGCCAGCAGCCGCGGUAAUACGGGGGGUGCAAGCGUUAUUCGGAAUUAUUGGGCGUAAAGGGCACGCAGGCGGUCCUGUCAGUCAGAUGUGAAAGCCCGGGGCUCAACCCCGGACGUGCAUUUGAAACAGCAGGACUUGAGUACGGGAGAGGAAAGGGGAAUUCCUGGUGUAGAGGUGAAAUUCGUAGAUAUCAGGAGGAACACCGGUGGCGAAGGCGCCUUUCUGGACCGAUACUGACGCUGAGGUGCGAAGGCGUGGGUAGCGAACGGGAUUAGAUACCCCGGUAGUCCACGCAGUAAACGUUGUAUGCUAGGUGUAGCGGGUAUUGACCCCUGCUGUGCCGCAGUUAACACAUUAAGCAUACCGCCUGGGGAGUACGGUCGCAAGACUAAAACUCAAAGAAAUUGACGGGGGCCCGCACAAGCGGUGGAGCAUGUGGUUUAAUUCGACGCAACGCGAAGAACCUUACCCAGACUUGACAUCUUGAGAAUCCUUUAGAAAUUUAGGAGUGCCUUCGGGAGCUCAAAGACAGGUGCUGCAUGGCUGUCGUCAGCUCGUGUCGUGAGAUGUUUGGUUAAGUCCAGCAACGAGCGCAACCCUUGUCUUCAGUUGCCAGCACAUAAUGGUGGGAACUCUGAAGAGACUGCCCCGGUUAACGGGGAGGAAGGUGGGGAUGACGUCAAGUCCUCAUGGCCCUUAUGUCUGGGGCUACACACGUGCUACAAUGGUAUGUACAACGGGCAGCAAGGCAGCGAUGCCAAGCAAAUCCCUUAAAGCAUAUCCCAGUCCGGAUUGGAGUCUGCAACUCGACUCCAUGAAGUUGGAAUCGCUAGUAAUCGUGGAUCAGCAUGCCACGGUGAAUACGUUCCCGGGCCUUGUACACACCGCCCGUCACACCAUGAGAGUUGAUUGUACCCGACGUCACUGGGCCAACCCUUCGGGGGGGCAGGUGCCUAAGGUAUGGUUGAUAAUUAGGGUGAAGUCGUAACAAGGUAGCCGUUGGGGAACCAGCGGCUGGAUCACCUCCUUUCU